GAGCGCACGCCGCCUACGGGGUGUUCCGGCGUCGUAGUCGUGCACUUCUCCCCUAGUAGAACGUCGCGACCCGUUGCGUGUCGGUCUACGGCCCGAGCGGUAGCCUGUCCCGUCUCGCCAUCGCGCGUGCGCGGACAGACCCUCGGUUAGCCCGGCCGGCUGCGCGACGGUACUCGCACGGUAUCGGGCCGCAGCGAAACGGCGAGAGGAAACUCUCUCCUCGCGUGCGUCAGGCCCGUCGCAAGCUGGGCCAGUUCCAUACCCGGAGGUGUUACGGACCCGGUGCCGUCCCCGGGCCUGGCCAGCUGUUGGCCGACGGUGUCCUCUGACUGUGUCCAUUCUCUUUCUAUAAGAUUACCGGUCGGCGACGCUAUUGCUUUGGGUACUCUCAGGACCCGUCUUGAAACACGGACCAAGGAGUCUAACAUGUGCGCGAGUCAUUGGGAUCGCAAUUCGAAACCUAAAGGCGGAAUGAAAGUGAAGGU
rnacentral:rRNA from 1 species